rnacentral:lncRNA from 1 species
UGUAUGUGUUGAAGAAGGAAGAGGGGGGGAGGCAUUCGCCGUUCUUUUCGGGUUACAGGCCUCAGUUUUACAUGAGGACCACUGAUGUCACCGGGAAGGUGACUUCGAUUAUGAACGACAAGGAUGAGGAGUCGAAGAUGGUGAUGCCUGGCGAUCGCGUUAAGAUUGUUGUCGAGCUGAUUGUUCCGGUGGCGUGUGAGCAGGGGAUGAGGUUUGCUAUCAGAGAAGGAGGGAAGACUGUUGGAGCUGGCGUUAUUCAAUCCAUUAUCGAGUGAUAGAAAAUAGAAAUUAUGUGGUGGUCUGAACUUAUUUUUGCAAUUUGGUGUCAAACUUGAACUCUCUUAGCUUCAAUUUUAUCUAGCUUUU